ACUCAACAGAUUUGGACCUACUUUGACAGUGAGGAUGAUGCUCUUCGUUUAUUGGCUUUUGUCCUAUUUGGCAUCCUGACCCGCUUGACAAAGA